rnacentral:rRNA from 1 species
CUACACGGGUUUCUAAUCCUGUUCGCUCCCCACGCUUUCGCGUCUCAGCGUCAGUACCGUCCCAGAGAGCUGCCUUCGCCAUUGGUGUUCUUCCUGAUAUCUGCGCAUUUCACCGCUACACCAGGAAUUCCACUCUCCUCUUCCGGACUCUAGCCAAGCGGUUUCUGUCGACGUCUGGAGGUUGAGCCUCCAGUUUUCACAACAGACCCGCUUGGCCGCCUACACGCUCUUUACGCCCAGUAAAUCCGGACAACGCUUGCCCCCUACGUAUUACCGCGGCUGCUGGCAC